GCCCGAAUAGCUCAGCCGGUUAGGCACUUGACUGUUAAUCAGGGGGUCGUUGGUUCGAGUCCAACUUCGGGCGCCA
rnacentral:tRNA from 1 species